rnacentral:RNase_P_RNA from 1 species
UCAGCCGGCCGGGCGGCCGCUCCGCCAGUUGCUGAAAGGCAGGCGGGGAGGAAAGUCCGGGCUCCAUGGAGAAACGGUGCCGGAUAACGUCCGGCGGGGGCGACCCCAGGGAAAGUGCCACAGAAAGCAAACCGCCUCGCCCUCGGGCGCGGUAAGGGUGAAAGGGUGCGGUAAGAGCGCACCGCCGGAGCGGCAACGCAACGGGCACGGCAAACCCCACCGGGAGCAAAACCGAAUAGGGGUGACGCGGCAUCGGCGCAAGCCGAUGUCGGGCGUUCUUCACGCCGUCACCCGGGUAGGUUGCUUGAGGCGUGCGGCAACGCACGUCCCAGAUGAAUGACCGCCGCGCGGGUGCCUUCGGGCACACGCCAUACAGAACCCGGCUUACAGGCCGGCUGACGUU